GAUGAACGCUGGCGGCGUGCUUAACACAUGCAAGUCGAACGGAAAGGCUCCUGCUUGCAGGGGUACUCGAGUGGCGAACGGGUGAGUAACACGUGGGUGAUCUGCCCUGCACUUCGGGAUAAGCCUGGGAAACUGGGUCUAAUACCGGAUAGGACGAUGGUUUGGAUGCCAUUGUUGAAAGUUUUUCGGUGUGGGAUGAGCUCGCGGCCUAUCAGCUUGUUGGUGGGGUAAUGGCCUACUAAGGCGUCGACGGGUAGCCGGCCUGAGAGGGUGUACGGCCACAAUGGGACUGAGAUACGGCCCAGACUCCUACGGGAGGCAGCAGUGGGGAAUAUUGCACAAUGGGCGGAAGCCUGAUGCAGCGAAGCCGCGUGGGGGAUGACGGCCUUCGGGUUGUAAACUCCUUUCGCUAGGGACGAAGCGCAAGUGACGGUAACUGGAGAAGAAGCACCGGCUAACUACGUG
rnacentral:rRNA from 1 species